rnacentral:misc_RNA from 1 species
AGGGAUCAUUAGCGAGCAACACGGGCGCCUCUGCAAAAGAGCGCCCCGCCGCGCCAACCUUUGCUGGAACCCCCUCCUCUGCCUCGGCGGUCCGCCCGUUUUCCGGGAGGCCGCCGGAAGAGAGAACCCGAACCCUACAGUAACGUGCGGUCCGAGAGGCGAAAGCCUAACCGAAGCACAACCUGCAACAAUGGAUCUCUUGGCUCUGGCAUCGAUGAAGAACGCAGCGAAAUGCGAUACGUAGUGUGAAUUGCAGAUCUCAGUGAAUCAUCGAGUUUUUGAACGCAUAUUGCGCCCUUCGGCAUGCUGGAGGGCACGCCUGUCCGAGCGCCAUUUAACACCUCAAGCCCCGGGCUUGUCGUUGGGCACCGCCGGCGACGGCGCGCCUUGAAACCGUCGGCGCCCUGUGAGGGCCCUGAGCGCACAGAGCCUAACCGCCCGCGCUCGGGGG